UAAAAAGUUAAGACUCACUGGUGUCCUGUAUUCAGGAGACCCAUCUCACAUACAAAGGUAUAGAUAAAGGGUUGGGGGAGUAUUUAUCAAGCAAAUAAAGAACAAAAAAGCAGGGGUUGCAAUCCUAGUCUCUGACAAAAUGAACUUUAAGCCAACAAAGAUCAAAAUAAACAAAGAAUGACAUUACAUAAUGGUAAAGGUAUUAAUGCAACAAGAAGAGCCGAGAUCGGAACAUUGCACUCCAGCCUGGGUGACAACAGCAAAACUCUGUCUCAAAAAAAAAAAAUUUUUUUUUUCCUCCUGGUUGUUAAAGAAAACCUCAUCUAUACAAUGAGGGUCCAGUGCCAAGGGGUGGCAGCAGAAGCUCCUUCUGGACACUGGCUGCUCUGGAAGGGCCAGUCCCGCCCAGGUACAGAACCCGCAGCUGUGAUCGGGAUGCUGUCAUUCCGCUGUCUGUGACCCUGGGCCCUCGCUGUGUCAGACACAUGUGUCACAGAUGCUGGCAACAGCUUUGAGGGCUUCAACACAUUCUAAAAUCGACAGGUACUUGGAACAUUUCUGAGUCCCACCUCGUAAUCAUCAUGUAAGACACAGCCUUGAUAUUAUGAAGAAUUACCAAGGAAAUCCAUGAGAAAAACGCAGAACCAAACUCCUCAUCAGGAUGAAUGAUGGAGAAACCCUUCAAGUGCGUUUCAAGUCGCCCAGCAGGAGCCUCUGUUGGGGAGUGAGGCUUCAGGGUUCCCGUGAGCUGGGAUCUGCCUGAGGCUUAGUGCUGGUCACUCCUGAAACCUGUCUGUUUGCAGGAGUGCCAGCCCAUGGGGCGGAAAGUCAAGACUGUCCCAAGUGCUGGUCCUGAAGCUGGAAGGACUUUCAAGGCCUCGUUCCCCAAACUCAUUUUAUUUAAACUUCUGCCCAUCUUAAAAAUGGGAGAGGCAGGCGCCCAGCAACUUCUCAGGAGUAACUGACACAGGUGACGAGCAGUGUCUUCAGAGCUAGUCUGCCACUUGCUACUGUUUAAACAGAGCAAGACUGACAGUCGGCAGCAGCUGGUCCAUGCAUAACACCUUCUGCAGCCUGGAUGAAAAUGGCACUGGAGGGCCACUGGAUACCAGCGCACUGACUUCAGAAGCAGAUGCAGUGUGCAACGGGCACCUGCCCCUCCCGGGGCCCUGACAGUGCUUCCUGGAAACUCAGGCUAAGCUGACUCUGCUGUCAGGCUGAUGAGGC
rnacentral:lncRNA from 1 species